rnacentral:rRNA from 1 species
GAUGAACGCUGGCGGCGUGCCUAAUACAUGCAAGUCGAGCGAACAGAUGAGGAGCUUGCUCCUCUGACGUUAGCGGCGGACGGGUGAGUAACACGUGGAUAACCUACCUAUAAGACUGGGAUAACUUCGGGAAACCGGAGCUAAUACCGGAUAAUAUAUUGAACCGCAUGGUUCAAUAGUGAAAGACGGUUUUGCUGUCACUUAUAGAUGGAUCCGCGCCGCAUUAGCUAGUUGGUAAGGUAACGGCUUACCAAGGCAACGAUGCGUAGCCGACCUGAGAGGGUGAUCGGCCACACUGGAACUGAGACACGGUCCAGACUCCUACGGGAGGCAGCAGUAGGGAAUCUUCCGCAAUGGGCGAAAGCCUGACGGAGCAACGCCGCGUGAGUGAUGAAGGUCUUCGGAUCGUAAAACUCUGUGAUUAGGGAAGAACAAAUGUGUAAGUAACUAUGCACGUCUUGACGGUACCUAAUCAGAAAGCCACGGCUAACUACGCG